UUGGUGUGGGCGCCGCGUCCAGCACAAGCGGGCGCUGGCCUUGGGCAUGAGAGGGGAUUCGUGAAGGUGGCCGCUGAUCCUUUUUAUGAUGAAGAAGAGAAAGGAGCGGGGUCGCUGCUGCAAAGGAGACGAACGUGUAGAGGUCGAUCAGUAGCCAGGCCACCUUGCCGGACCACCAUCCUCACUGGCCCAUGCCAAAUAAGGUGCUCAACUUCGUGGUGCUCAGUGGCCAGCUGAUGGUGGUGUACUACCGCCGGUGAGAACUAGGAACAGAAAGAGGAAAGAAAGAGAGAUGAAGUGGCAAGACUCCAUGAUCCCAGGUCAGGAUAAGAGAGAAGGGGCAAGUUCAGGUACACGUCUUUGCAGAUCCACAAUCUACAUUAGUCCAAAGCCUUUCGGGGUUUCAAAUAAUCUCCCUCUUUUGCGCAUGGUUAUUCAGGAUGAAAUAGUUAUUUGGAACUUCACUCCUUCUCGCCAAAAUAGAUAGCAUGGACACUUGAUCUCCACCGUGGAGCUUGGCGCAGCUCGACCUCUUGCCGCUGGAGAUGGAACUAAGACCUCUGUUGGCUUAUUCAGAUUGUAACUUUCGCCCAGUCCAGUUGCAGCCUUGGACCCUCUUGCAGGCCCGCCUUGCAGAUGGUCAGGAUUGCCUGCCGUUGGCGCUGUCCCUCUUAGCCACUGCCGAUUGGCCAGCAAGGUCUUGACGAACUACGGGAUAUAAGUUGCAAUAUGUGAUGCUGAAUGUGGUUCCGUGACCACUUCUUGGACCGUGCUCUUCAUGUCAAGCGCCCAACAGGAGGGAGAGGAGGAGCGCAUCUGCGCUCGAACUCGGCGACUUCCUUGAUGUUUUUUCUUGGCUCCAUGUGUUUCUACAAUAUGGGACACUCGUGGCGGAAUGUGGCAAGCUUGUGUAAACCUCAUGCUGGUAGAUAGGAAGACAAUUCAAAUUCUGGAACUACAAAGAUGCUAUUCAAGAAAUACGGGAAUACAAAGCAAUAGGAUGUGCUCAACUUUUCUCUGACUUAUUAUGUUUACAUUGAGUACUGUAAUGUGCUGCACCUGGACCUUGAUGGCCCCAAUGUUAUGUCCUAUUUUGUCCUCAAAGAUUGGCUGAUCGAAUGCCAACACCGAUUUUGCAAUUUACAUUGACCAUCGGUUGAGGAGUGGCCAACAAUGGGCACCAGAAGAUGCGCAAAGGUACACGAGGAGGGGCAAGGUGAAUUUAUGUAGUUUAGUUGUGCAUUAAGGUACUGCAAACACAUUUUGUGUCUACCUUCCAAUAUCUAUUUAUAUAUGUUGUAGUUUUUCAGGGCCCAUUUUUU